UGCUUUACCUGAUUUUUUUUUUGCCUUUCAAGUUUCCCAUAUAGGAAUGUGGAGAAAAAAAAUCUUUUGAUGGAGUUGAUAACUUCCUCUUCAAUAUGAUGUUUCUACAAAGGGCCAAACAUGCAAGAGAGCUCCUGGUGAAAGAGGAAUAACCAGAUGAUUAGAUGCAUAUCUCAUCCUCUAAAGCUUCUCAAGAAAAAAAUUAUGUAUUAUUUGUCUCUAUAAAGAAUAGAAUUAAAGAUAUGUUAGGUUUGUUUGUAGCAGCAUGGGAAGAAGUGCAAGCUCUUCAGAGACCAACAAUGAGGUUUCUGUUCUGAGACUUUGCUCCCACUAAUCUCAGGGAGGUCUAUGGGUUAGGUUUUGAUAGAGGCGAACUACAUCUUCCUCUCUUAACAACUUUAGCUACUACCUGAGAGGGGAAGACAUCAUUGAGGGUUAUGCCUAGGGGAGUUUGGUUUUCCAGCAUGGAGGAGUUCAAAUGGAGAAAGAUUUGGGGUCGAAUCUGUUGCCGCAUCAAUAAUUAUCAGGUAUAAAUGGAGGAGAGGAUACACCUUCUACAUAAAUGAUUAUAGUGUUAAAAGAGAUUCUACGUACACAAAGUUGGUUCUCUCUUGCUAUGGUGACUGUGGGUGGAGAGUUCUUUGCUAAGCAAACUCCGAGGUGGAUAACCUGACCUGUGGGAUCCUUUUUAGGUUUGUUGUAACUUCAUGGUAAGAAAAUUUGCUGACAGUUCUUCCUUGCAAGGGGGAGGUUAUUUUAGGAGUUGUGAAGUGUUAUGUGGAGUGUUGUAGUUUCUUGAGAUUUCCUUUGAACUUCUGCGAGAGGUGGAGUGGCUAGGUCUGGUAAGAUAUUACUAUAUUCUUAAAGCUUUUUUGAUAUAUUUCAUCAAUUCUAUAAAUUGUUGUCUUACUUUGAGAUGGUGAGAAGCGGUUUUUGGUGGCCUUCGGCGACUGGGACUUUGAGCCGGCCGACCUACCUGACUUGUUUCCAUCUGGACCCGAAAAGGGCUCUUCUUCUAUUCAAAUAUGGAAAGGUUAUGAAGACAGAGUGAUGUCGUUUCAGUUGUAAGGAUAUUUGUGCCACCAACUACCAUGUAUUAGAAACCAUGAGGUCCCUAAAGGUAGUGACUUGAUCAUACACUACGAUAGAGUAUGCGAAGCAAUUUUAAAAUAACUUCUUUUAGGAGAGAUCUACCAAUGUACAGACAACAAAAUGCGAUUGUUCAGAUAGAGAAUAAGUCAUGAUUUCUAACUUAUUCGUCAUUGUUUCUUGAUUCAUUGAUUUUUAUUACAACAAUUGAAAUUGUAUUUGUAAAUUAUUUGUAUUUUCGUCAUUUUUUACCACUACAAGAAAAGGUAAUUCAUAUGGCCAUAUUUCUCCUAAAUUUAUCGUCAUGACUAAUUUUUAAUGGAUUUUGAUAUGUUGAUAUAUGAUCUUUUAUAAUUUCCUAGUAAAAAAAUCUAGUAUAUUUACUAUUCCAAACCUAAUACCCAACUUGUUUAGAAAUUCAACGCUUCUCUUAGACGUUACAAUAGCUACUUGAUUACAAUAUAUUUUGAAUUAGGUCACUUUGGCUCUACUUGAAUUUUUUUAUAUAUAUAAAGUAACGGCCGAAGAUGAUUAAAUCGAGGCUUAAUUUUAGGAAAAAUCAAUUGCAAUUUAUGGCGAAUACAAGUGAAAUAAUUAAAAGUUUAUAACGUAUUAGCUGUUUUUUUGGCUUUGUCUAAAUUAUUUUUGCCUUUUCAGGGUCCCCAUAUUGGAAGAAAAAAAGGGCCAAACCUGUAGCUCCUGGUGAAAGAGGAGGAACUAGAUGAUUAGAGGCAUAUUUCAUCCACUAAAGCCUCUCAAGAAAAACAGUAUAAAUGGAGGAGAGGAUAAAUCUUCUACAUAAAUGAUUAUAGUGUUAAAAGGUAUGUAAUCAGGAGGCUGGUGAGAGUAUAAAUAUCAUUAAAAAGGAUAUUUCUCUCUAGGAGAGGUAUGCACGUUCUAUAAGAAUCAGAGUUCUCUAGAUGAGUUGCCUCAUGAGAUGGAGUUUUUUCCCUCCACUAGAGAUUCUACACAAAUUUGGUUCUCUCCUUGCUAUGGUGACUGUGGGUGGAGAUUUCUUUGCUAAGUGAACUCCGAGGUGGAUAACCUGACCUGUGAGAUCCAUUUUAGUUUCCUUUCCAGGUUUGUUGUAACUUCAUGGGAAGAAAAUUUGCUAACAGUUCUUCCUUGCAAGGAGGAGGUUAUUUUAGGAGUUGUGAAGUGUUAUGUGGAGUGUUGUAGUUUCUUAUGAUUUCCUUUGAACUUCUGCGAGAGGUGGAGUGGCUAGGUCUGGUAAGAUAUUACUAUAUUCUCAAAGUUUUUUUGAUAUAUUUCAUUAAUUCUAUAAGUUGUUGUCUUACUUUGCGAUGGUGAGAAGCGGUUUUCUGGUGGCCUUCGGCGACUGGGACUUUGAGCCGGCCGACCUACCUGACUUGUUUCCAUCUGGACCCGAAAAGAGCUCUUCUUCUAUCCAAAUAUGGAAAGGUUAUGAAGACAAAGUGAUGUCGUUUCAGUUGUAAGGAUAUUUGUGCCACCAACUACCAUGUAUUAGAAACCAUGAGGUCCCUAAAGGUAGUCACUUGAUCAUACACUACGAUAGAGUAUGCGAAGCAAUUUUAAAAUAACUUCUUUUAGGAGAGAUCUACCAAUGUACAGACAAAAAUGCGAUCGUUGAGGCAGAGAGUAAGUCAUGAUUUCUAAUUUAUUCGUCAUUGAUUUUAAUUACAACAAUUGAAAUUGUAUUUGUAAAUUAUUUGUAUUUUUGUCAUUUUUUACUACUACAAGAAAAGGUAAUUCAUAUGGCCAUAUUUCUCCUAAA